CUUUAUUUUCCGUUAUAUAUUUUUCUUUCAUCUAAACUUGUAUAUACCGCUUACCCAGGGUUUCCACUAGGGGUGUUCAAAAAUAUCUGGUUUGGAAAACCCGAUUCGAAAUACCCGGUAUCCGAUUUUUAAAACCGGGUAAAUUACCCGGUUUACAUAAUUCGGAUAAUUCAGGUCGAGUACCCGAUUUUAAAACCGGGUAUUCGGGUCGAAUACGGAUCGCGAAUUUUGGAAACCGGGUACCCGGUAUCCGGGUUUUAUUUUUUUUAUUAUUAUUUUUUUUAUAUAUAAAUUUAUUUUGAAAAGUUUGAAAACCCUAAAUUGGCUAAAUCUAACUUGGGACUUUGGAAAUCACUGUCUUCAUUCUUGCUACUAUUGCUAGCCGUCAUCUGCAUUUCUACUCAUCUUGCUUCUUCUUGAAUCUUCUUCUUCAAGCAGACUCCCAUCUUCUUCAAUCUUGCUCCCGUCAUCUUGCUUCUUCUUCACCAUUCACGAUGAGACGUCGACAAGAAUCUAGACCACUGCCAUUCUUCUUCUUCACCGUUUUUAAUUGGAGAUUUAUUUAGUUCGCGGUUUUCACCAUUUUCGCAGAGGUUUAGCUGGUAAUCUUCAGUUAAAAUAUGGUAGAAUGAAAAAUCAAAUGGUGUGUCAUUGUUGUACAGUACUUGGCGAUAUUGGACAAAAGAACUUGAAGACAAGGCAUGCUUCAUCAAAUAAGGAUCAUCCUACUAAAGGUAAUCUUGCAGAAUUGAUUUUGGUUUGAUUUUUUCUUCCAUAUAUUCUAAUAUGAAUAUUGUGUGACAUGAUCACAUGUUUUGGUGGAUUGGUUUCAAAGUUUCAAAAUAUGUUUGUAACAAUAAACAAACGUUUACAUCUUUACAUAAAGUUGUGGAUGGAGAAAGUCUUUACAUUGGAUAUAAUUCUUCAAUUAAAAUCUAUGGCAAAGGACAAGUAAAACUUCUGUUUACAUCGAGAAAUUAUUUAAUCCUAAAAUAUGUGUAUUUUGCACCCGGUAUUAGUAGAAAUUUUGUUUCUAACCCUAUAUUGAAUUGUGUAGGAUAUAACUUGGUGUUUGAAGCCGAUAGACUUCUUUGACUGAAACUUGAUGAGAUGGAAUUAGUAUGUUUCAUUAUUUGAUAUAUAGUGGCUAUAUCUCGUAUAUAUUAAACUUUAACUCUAUUUUUAAUUUUUAAUAAAUAAAUAAAAUAAAUAAAUAAUACCGAAACUAAAUAAAGUCCUAAUUUAAUUUUCCCAAUAACAGAGUAUUCGGGUCGUAAAUCGUAAUUUCACUAAUUUUUAGUUGCUACUGUCACCUCUCGUCUCUCUCCUCUCCUCAACUUUCUCCGUGCACAGAAGUCUCGAGGCGUUUUCUCAAGGUUAGUAUAUUUUAUUAUUCAUUUAAGGGAAAUUUGACAUGGUAGCAUCGAACUUCAUUAAACGCGAGUAGUAACAUUUUUGUAAGAUUUUUCCAAAUAGUAACAUCUAACAUUUGCAUUUAAGUUUUUCGUAGCCUUAAACACUUAAAAACGUUUGUUUGACCGUUAAAAUAGAUAGUCAAAGCAUGUCACCCCAUCUAAUUUCGAAUUCCACUCC